rnacentral:rRNA from 1 species
CGGGGCUUAGUGCCGGAGCUAACGCAAUAAGCACUCCGCCUGGGGAGUACGACCGCAAGGUUGAAACUCAAAGGAAUUGACGGGGGCCCGCACAAGCGGUGGAGCAUGUGGUUUAAUUCGAAGCAACGCGAAGAACCUUACCAGGUCUUGACAUCCCGAUGCUAUUCUUAGAGAUAGGAAGUUACUUCGGUACAUCGGAGACAGGUGGUGCAUGGUUGUCGUCAGCUCGUGUCGUGAGAUGUUGGGUUAAGUCCCGCAACGAGCGCAACCCUUAUUGUUAGUUGCCAUCAUUAAGUUGGGCACUCUAGCGAGACUGCCGGUAAUAAACCGGAGGAAGGUGGGGAUGACGUCAAAUCAUCAUGCCCCUUAUGACCUGGGCUACACGCGUGCUACAAUGGUCGGUACAACGAGUUGCGAGCCGGUGACGGCAAGCUAAUCUCUGAAAGCCGAUCUCAGUUCGGAUUGGAGGCUGCAACUCGCCUCCAUGAAGUCGGAAUCGCUAGUAAUCGCGGAUCAGCACGCCGCGGUGAAUACGUUCCCGGGCCUUGUACACACCGCCCGUCACACCACGAGAGUUUGUAACACCCGAAGUCGGU